rnacentral:rRNA from 1 species
UGGGGAAUAUUGGACAAUGGGGGCAACCCUGAUCCAGCCAUGCCGCGUGUGUGAAGAAGGCCCUCGGGUUGUAAAGCACUUUCAGCGAGGAAGAACGCCUAGCGGUUAAUACCCGUUAGGAAAGACAUCACUCGCAGAAGAAGCACCGGCUAACUCCGUGCCAGCAGCCGCGGUAAUACGGAGGGUGCAAGCGUUAAUCGGAAUUACUGGGCGUAAAGCGCGCGUAGGUGGCUUGAUAAGCCGGUUGUGAAAGCCCCGGGCUCAACCUGGGAACGGCAUCCGGAACUGUCAGGCUAGAGUGCAGGAGAGGAAGGUAGAAUUCCCGGUGUAGCGGUGAAAUGCGUAGAGAUCGGGAGGAAUACCAGUGGCGAAGGCGGCCUUCUGGACUGACACUGACACUGAGGUGCGAAAGCGUGGGUAGCAAACAGGAUUAGAUACCCCCGUAGUCC